GCUGGGACACGAAAGAGGGGCAUCAUAGGUUUUGGCCUGAGUAACUGAGCAGCACUAUUAAUGAAGACUGUGCAAGACAUGGUGUAUUCAUCAGCGGGGACAGGUUGUGCUGCAGUAACAAAUAACCCCCCACGUUGCAAUACCUUAAUACAACAAAUAUUUGUUUUCAUGCUUUUAUUCAGUGCAGGUGCAGAGACACCAUCUGGCAGCUGUGCCUUCUAGGGCAUGUGGCCAUGUAAGUGACUGCAGUGUGGAAAGGAUGACAGCAUGGAGAUCCCACAGCCCCUCUUCUAUGCUCUGGCUGAGAAGAGACACAUGUCACUUUGGUUCUUUGCUCCCUGCCCAGAACCAGUCGCGGGAGACAAACUGUGCACCAAGAAGGGGAUAUGAGUCAGAUAUUUGUUAUUGCAAGAUUUAGAUGGGAUAAGAAAUGUGAAGGCAUUUUGAUGACUCUGGAAUAACAGGUAAAUAUGGUUGUCAAUCUACAUUAUCGUUAUUACCUGUGUUAUUGUGUAAAUCAUGCUGCAAGCAAAUGGGCUGUAUGGUCCAGCUGGAAAUCUAAUUGUCACUUGGAGUGCUUUGCUUUGAUGAUAGUAAUUACAGUGGAAUUCAUUGUGGACUCCAAAUUUGCUGUUUGAGCUCCACUUCAUAUCCCUUCAUGUUUUCUGUAUAUGCACAAUGACAUAAGGCAAAUCAUUUUCUGCUUAGCAAAAUUUUAUCUCGCUUGACAAACAUUAGUCGAGGUCCUACUCUGUUAUAUAUUUCACUACAUAUAAAGGAUGCAGAUCUGAAUAAUGUACAGACCUUGCCAUCAUGGUGAUGACAAUGUAGUGAAAGAGACCAACAUGGACAUAGGAAAAUUUAGGACAAGUCAGAAAGUGGUGACUGGUACAAAAAUGGAACAGAUAAUGGGGGAAAUUCAAGCAAGUGAGGAGAUCAUUAUUUGCAGUACGGAAGUCUUCAUGUAGCUGUGUCAUUUGAUCUGGGUGUUAAAGGGUGGUUACGACUUGGGUAUUUGGAGAUGGGGGAAAGGUGCUGCUGAUAAAAGGACCACUGUGGAGAACACAGAGAGGAAGGAGGAGUAGAUUUCAAUUUACGGAGAUUUGGGAUUAAGAAAGAGGGGGACACUUUGAAUAAAUAGAUGGAAUAAAGAUGGACCACAGAGCCUUUCUUCUAUAACAUUUAAUUAAAUGAAUAAAAAUUAAUAAAAAGCAGCCAAGAAUGAAUAAUUGCAAUAAAGCAAGGAACUAGACCCAAUCUCAUGCUAUUUACAUGCAGAAGUGGAGUCAAAAAAAGAAAUGUAAGAUUCUGAAAUGACUGUCUGCAUAUUUACUUCAACCCCCCAAAUAAUAACUAUCCCAUAAAAAAAUGAGUCAACUGAGUCUGGGUGCGGUGGCUCACGCCUGCAAUCCCAGCACUUUGGGAGGCCGAGGCGGGCAGAUCACGAGGUCAGGAGAUCGAGACCAUCCUGGCUAACAUGGUGAAACCCUGUCUCUACUAAAAAUACAAAAAUUAGCCAGGCAUGGUGGUGGGCCCUGUAGUCCUAGCUACUCAGGAGGCUGAGGCAGGAGAAUGGUGUGAACCUGGGAGGUGGAGGUUGCAGUGAGCUGAGAUCGCGCCACUGCACUCCAGCCUGGGCGACAGAGCGAGACUCCAUCUCUAAAAAAAAAAAAAAAAAAAAAAAAAAAAGUGAGUCAACCAAAUUCUCCGAUAUUUUUUGGCAAAAGCCCCAUUUCCUAACUUUGAGAUAGGUAGACUGAGGAGAUGAAUAGGCAGCUUUAGGAAACAUCAGGGAAAAUUCACUGCAUUUUCUCCAGGUAACACCAGUCUAUAUCAGUCAAGGUAGCAACAGGAUAGAGUUGGAGCUAAAUUUGCUUAUUCCUAAUCUCUUUCUGGAGUUAUGAAACUUGUUUCCACCUGGAGUGUCUAGCCUUGCCAGGAAAAUGAAGUGGAUUAAUAAAGAGUGGAGGGGCCAGUCAUGCACAUCUGUUAGGGGCUCAGAGGAAGAAGCAGAUCCCGGUUUCACAGCAAGAAGUUUCUUUAUUUAAGAAAACAGAAGAUUUGGGAAGCGAUGCACUUGUUUAGGAUAAGUUAGGUGACAAGAAAUAAUUUGGCCACUCUAGAAAUAUGCUACAUCAAAAGACAAUUAUAAAAAAAUUAAAGACCAUUAUAUAUCAAAUACAGAUGAGGAAGACAUAAUCCCAGAAACUGAAGAAAAUCCUUAGCAACUGCUGCUUUGUGUUAUCUAAAAUAUAAUAUGAUCAUAGGUUUAGUAAAAUAGGUAGUCAACAAGGUGUUAGUGACAUCACAAGAUGGAAAGAACAUGAUAGGAUAAAGUUAAGAAAACCACAUGAUUACUGAAACAACAGCAUGCCAGAAUCAAUAAAUAAAUCACAACAAAGAAAAGAACUAUGUGGUUGAAAUACUGAAUUAACUGAUAUUGGGAAAAUGCUUGAGAAAAUCUAAAUGAAUGCAGAAAAAAGAGAUUGACUCAAUCAGAGGAAAGAUAAUAGACAAAGAUAAUGUCUUAUAUGACUGAUCUGUGGCCCUAAAAUCUAGAAAUCAACAAAUGGGACAACUGUUCAUAGUCCUAAUUAGAGGAAAAAAUUCUCCUGAAGAGAGGAAAGAAAUUUAUUCAUAUUAAAAGACCACACUACGUUUUACAAAAAGUCAAUAAAGAACAUUUGACACCAAGACAUAUCCUGUUUAGUUUAUUGAACACCAAAAGCAUGUGGAAUUUUUCAGACAUCUGAGUGGGAGAAAAAAAUCAAGAUUUAGAUUUUCCCGCAGCAACAUGUCACACCCAAAGACAGGGAGCAGUACAUAGAGUUCUAAAUGAUAUGAGGUAUGAAUCAAGAAUCUCAUUGCAGGUAAGUUGUAUUUCAGGUAUAAAUGCAACAGGCAGAUAUUCUGAAACCUGAAAGAAGUUAUGCAAUAGAGUCCUGUCAGGCCUUAGGAAGAAAUAGUGUUCUAUGUUAAAGUCCAGCAAAUCAGAAGGUGAUCAGAAGAUGGUUGCACAGCCUUCAGUGUCCCCAGAAGGCUGAUAUAUAAAGUUCUGAGGGAAAUAAAUGUGACUUCCAGCUCCAGAUUUCACAACCAGCCAGAUCACUUGAAGGCAGGGGCUAAGUCUGAUUUUUCUCCGUAAGUAUAAUGACACAAAUGAUCAAAAACAAACAAACAGAAAACAUGGACUAUCAAUCGAACAGUAGAAUCUCAAGAAACACAGCAUGUUAGUGCCUUUCUUUUUUUUCACCCUCUCAACCCGGCUUUUCCCAUAAGUGCCUUUCUUGAAAAAAACAAGAAAGAAAUUGACAGCAAAUUUCAACUAACCAAGCGAUGAAUUAAAUGAAGAACUCAAGAAUGGGGAAGCUGAAGAGAAAGACUGGUGGUAAGCAUUGAGACUAUAGAGAUGUUAGAUUAAUAGUAAAAUCAUGUAGGAAUUAUGGUUAUAGAUUGGAAUGCAAAUAUUAAAAAACCAACUGAUGUAAAAAUAAUAAUAUGACUAGCUAGAUGAGGGGCUGGGAACAUUUUUCUGUAAAGGGCCAGCUAAUAAAUAUUUCAGGCUUUGCAGGCCAUGUAGAGUGUGGUCGCAUAUUUAUAAAAUUUUAUUUAUUUAUUUACAACCCCAUGAAAAUUUAAAGAGCUUUCAUAGCUCAUAUGCCAUAUAAAAACCGGCUGGGGCUGAUUUUGGCCCAUGGGCUGUAGUUUGCUGACCUCUGACCUAGAUCAUUGGUCUCUUAUCUACCAUUAAAUCUAUGAGUCAACAUGGCUUUGCUUUGCAUAAUGAUCCCAUUUUCUCCACUCUUGACUAUUUGGAAAAGCUCACAAUGUGGCUUUAAACAAAGAUAAAGAGAGAAAGCCAAGCCGGACCUCACAACUCCAAGUCAUGACACAAACCACUCUGCCAUUUCACAUGCAAUUCUAGAGCUGUCCUGUCCAAUAUGGAAGCCCUUUCCAAUAUGGCAGCCAUUACCAUAUGUGGCUGGUGAGCACUUGAAAUGGGGCUGGUUCAAAUGG
rnacentral:lncRNA from 10 species